rnacentral:rRNA from 1 species
UAACGCGUGGAUAACCUGCCUCACACAGGGGAGUAACAGUUGGAAACGACUGCUAAUACCGCAUAAGCGCACAGCACCGCAUGGUGCAGUGUGAAAAACUCCGGUGGUGUGAGAUGGAUCCGCGUCUGAUUAGCUGGUUGGCGGGGUAACGGCCCACCAAGGCGACGAUCAGUAGCCGGCCUGAGAGGGCGACCGGCCACAUUGGGACUGAGACACGGCCCAG